rnacentral:lncRNA from 1 species
UAUAUAGCUAAACACAAUAUCAGACAGAUUAUAAUAAUUACAGAAAUAGAGAGAAAAAAAGCAGCAAAAAGGGAAAGGUGAUUAGUUUGGCCUCUUGGGAUUAGAGAAUAUGCACUUCAAUUAAAAACUAAGUAGGCUUUAAUAUUCAUGGUUAUUGAGCCAACUCUGUGCCAGACACUCUAUUAGGCACCAAGGCUGCAGCAGUGGGGAAGGCAGACAGUAAGUAAAAGAAGUAAAUAAAUUAUUAAGUAUAUUAGCGGUUUUAAGUGCUAUGGAGAAAAAUAAAGCAGAAAAGUGCUAUUGGAAAGAAAGUGUUGCAAAUUUAAACAGGUGGCCAGGGAAGACUUCAUUGAAAAGGAGAUAUUUGAGCAAAGACUUAAGGGAGCAGGCCAUAAGUCUCUGUGGGAGAAGAGUAUUCCAGGCAGA